ACUUUUAAAGGAAAACAGCUAUCCAAUGGUCUUA
rnacentral:tRNA from 1 species